rnacentral:misc_RNA from 1 species
GUCUUCUAAUAAUUGUAUUUACAGCUCCAAUAGACUUUGCAAUUGGAUCAACCUCAUCACAGCACAUGACUGCAGCCUCCUUGUGAGGCAUUGUGCAGCUGAAACCAGUGAAAUCUGGAGAUGAGUAGGCAUUUAGAAAAUUAGCAAGGUUGUCCACCAAAAGAGGCACAUACACCGCGUUGAAACCAACUGACUUGAAUGCUGCAUUAUGCAAAAUUGGGCUUUUACUAUGGCUCACUGGCUUUCCAAUAAUACCGAAUAUUUUUGUAUCUGGUCCUAUUUGUCUGAUAUUAUAUACAUCCAACAGGUCAGUGAUAGUUGGCUGUCCAGGAGCUGAUUCUUUUCCACCAAGAAGUCUUCCAAAAGUCAGAUAUCCACCAAACUUUGAGCAAAGUAACCUGGAAAUGAGACCUCUCUCACCCAUGACCAAUCCUAUCAUUGGGACUUGGCAAUGCACA